CAGCAGCCGCGGUAAUACGUAGGGUGCAAGCGUUAAUCUGAAUUACUGGGCGUAAAGCGUGCGCAGGCGGUUAUAUAAGACAGAUGUGAAAUCCCCGGGCUCAACCUGGGAACUGCAUUUGUGACUGUAUAGCUAGAGUACGGCAGAGGGGGAUGGAAUUCCGCGUGUAGCAGUGAAAUGCGUAGAUAUGCGGAGGAACACCGAUGGCGAAGGCAAUCCCCUGGGCCUGUACUGACGCUCAUGCACGAAAGCGUGGGGAGCAAACAGGAUUAGAUACCCGUGUAGUCCCUGUCUCUUAUAC
rnacentral:rRNA from 1 species